GACGAACGCUGGCGGCGUGCUUAACACAUGCAAGUCGAACGGAAAGGCCCUGCUUUUGUGGGGUGCUCGAGUGGCGAACGGGUGAGUAACACGUGAGUAACCUGCCCUUGACUUUGGGAUAACUUCAGGAAACUGGGGCUAAUACCGGAUAGGAGCUCCUGCUGCAUGGUGGGGGUUGGAAAGUUUCGGCGGUUGGGGAUGGACUCGCGGCUUAUCAGCUUGUUGGUGGGGUAGUGGCUUACCAAGGCUUUGACGGGUAGCCGGCCUGAGAGGGUGACCGGCCAAAUGGGAAUGGGGUACGGGCCAGGAUCCUAAGGGGAGCAGGCGGUGGGAAUAUUGCACAAUGGGCGGAAGCCUGAUGCAGCAACGCCGCGUGCGGGAUGACGGCCUUCGGGUUGUAAACCGCUUUCGCCUGUGACGAAGCGUGAGUGACGGUAAUGGGUAAAGAAGCACCGGCUAACUACGUG
rnacentral:rRNA from 1 species